rnacentral:rRNA from 1 species
GCAUAUCAAUAAGCGGAGGAAAAGAAACUAACAAGGAUUCCCCUAGUAACUGCGAGUGAAGCGGGAAAAGCUCAAAUUUAAAAUCUGGCGGUCUUUGGCCGUCCGAGUUGUAGUCUGGAGAAGCGUCUUCCGCGUUGGACCGUGUACAAGUCUCUUGGAACAGAGCGUCAUAGAGGGUGAGAAUCCCGUCUUUGACACGGACUACCAAUGCUUUGUGAUGCGCUCUCAAAGAGUCGCGUUGUUUGGGAAUGCAGCGCAAAAUGGGAGGUGAAUUCCUUCUAAAGCUAAAUAUUGGCGAGAGACCGAUAGCGAACAAGUACCGUGAGGGAAAGAUGAAAAGCACUUUGGAAAGAGAGUUAAACAGUACGUGAAAUUGCUAAAAGGGAAACGCUUGAAGUCAGUCGCGUCGUCCGGAACUCAGCUUUGCUUCGGCUUAGUGCACUUUCCGGUUGACGGGCCAGCAUCGAUUUUGACCGCUGGAAAAGGGCUGGAGGAAUGUGGCACCUUCGGGUGUGUUAUAGCCUUCAGUCGCAUACAGCGGUUGGGAUCGAGGAACGCAGCGCGCCUUAUGGCUGGGGUUCGCCCACAUUCGCGCUUAGGAUGCUGGCAUAAUGGCUUUAAACGACCCGUCUUGAAACACGGACCAAGGAGUCUAACAUGCCUGCGAGUGUUUGGGUGGAAAACCCGAGCGCGUAAUGAAAGUGAAAGUUGAGACCUCUGUCGUGGAGGGCAUCGACGCCCGGACCUGACGUUUUCUGAAGGAUCCGCGGUAGAGCAUGUAUGUUGGGACCCGAAAGAUGGUGAACUAUGCCUGAAUAGGGUGAAGCCAGAGGAAACUCUGGUGGAGGCUCGUAGCGAUUCUGACGUGCAAAUCGAUCGUCAAAUUUGGGUAUAGGGGCGAAAGACUAAUCGAACCAUCUAGUAGCUGGUUCUGC